UGCUUUCCAUGCAGUCGUACGAAGUGUUAAAACUUUAGUGGCGGACGGGUGAGUAACACGUGAGAAUUUACCUUUAGGAGGGGAAUAACAGUUGGAAACGACUGCUAAUGCCGCAUAUCAUAACUAUGAAAGAAGAAAUUCGCCUAAAGAAAAGCUUGCGUCUGAUUAGCUAGUUGGUGAGGGUAAAGGCCUACCAAGGCGACGAUCAGUAGCUGGUUUGAGAGGACGACCAGUCACACUGGAACUGAGACACGGUCCAGACUCCUACGGGAGGCAGCAGUGGGGAAUUUUCCGCAAUGGGCGAAAGCCUGACGGAGCAAUACCGCGUGCAGGAUGACAGCCCUAUGGGUCGUAAACUGCUUUUAUAUAGGAAGAAACCCUUUCACGUGUGAGAGGCUGACGGUACUAUAUGAAUAAGCACCGGCUAACUCCGUGCCAGCAGCCGCGGUAAUACGGAGGGUGCAAGCGUUAAUCGGAAUUACUGGGCGUAAAGCGUGCGUAGGCGGAUUAUUAAGUCAGAUGUGAAAUCCCGGGGCUCAACCUCGGAACUGCAUUUGAAACUGGUAGUCUAGAGUAUUGUAGAGGGUGGUGGAAUUUCCAGUGUAGCGGUGAAAUGCGUAGAGAUUGGAAGGAACAUCAGUGGCGAAGGC
rnacentral:rRNA from 1 species